AAAAGGUGCGCCAAACUUGACCAAGCUUGCGCAUUUUGGCCUUUGUUGCUUCGCUUCUUCUAAAGGUUACCUGACAACAGAGAAGCCAGCUGUUAGGCGAUCACCGCCUCUCCCUCUGGAUCAUCGUCCCACUGUGAUCGCUUUUUGUGACUUUUUCAUGUCUGUAUUUGCUUCACGUUGAGCCUCACGUACAAUACCUGAAGAUGAAGUUUUGUUCGUUCGGCUCGCGUUAUGCAGGUACGGGUUGGCAACGGGAAAAGACACAAAGUUUGUUUUUCAUCACGGGAGCAUCACUGUUGCAUCACUAUUGUUAACACUGUCAAGCUUUAGUUCAUGCAAAUAAUGGGAUGUUGUUUUUGGUUGGGUUGUUUUAAAAGAUUGCCAGGUGAAAUUUGUUUUAAGGGGGUUCAAGGGAGCCAAAUGGGUAGGGCCAGAUAUUGCUGCCAUACUGCACCACAAGUGACCCAAUUAUUGUGAUGAAAAUCUAUAAGACAAAAAUGUAAAAGACAUUUUUAAGAAAAUAUAUUCAACCACGAAGUCAUUGCCAUUGCUCUACCUAAGAAGACUUCAUAGCAACAUAGUUUCAGUAACUGAAGCACCAGGUGUACAGAGCUAAACUGAAUAGUUUGCCUUAUUUGCAUACAGCUGGCAACAGGCUCUAAAGAAAGCCAUGUCAGCCUUGGACAACAUGUUGCCUGACUACUGGAGUCACACUCAUUUAUCCAAAGGUAAACUGAAAAAGAAAGAGAAAAAAAACCUAAUGGAAAAGUAAUUUCUCAACUCAUUUGACUCAAUUAAAGAUUCUUUGUUACA